GGUGCAACGGGGGGAAGGCGCCGCCGUUGACUCUUAAUCAGCGGGUCCUCGGUUCGAGUCCGAGAGGAACCACCA
rnacentral:tRNA from 1 species